GGCCGAAUAGCUCAGUUGGUUAGAGCGUCGAGCUAAUAUAUUUCUUGUAACUCGAAGGUCUUGGGUUCGACCCCCACUUUGGCCA